rnacentral:rRNA from 1 species
GACGAACGCUGGCGGCGUGCUUAACACAUGCAAGUCGAGCGGUAAGGCCCUUUGGGUACACGAGCGGCGAACGGGUGAGUAACACGUGAGUAAUCUGCCUUUGGCUUGGGAAUAACUUCGGGAAAUCGGGGCUAAUGCCUGAUGUUUACUGUCUGCUGCAUGGUGGGGUGGUGGAAAGUAUUUUUUUGGCCGAGGAGUGAGCGUCCGCGGUCUAUCAGC